GACGAACGCUGGCGGCGUGCUUAACACAUGCAAGUCGAACGAUGAAACCUAGCUUGCUAGGUCGAUUAGUGGCGAACGGGUGAGUAACACGCGACUAACCUGCCCCUUUCUCUGGGAUAACGCUCCGAAAGGAGUGCUAAUACCGGAUACUCACACCGAGGCACAUGCCUUGGUGUGGAAAGUUUUUCGGAAAGGGAUGGAGUCGCGGCCUAUCAGCUUGUUGGUGAGGUAACGGCUCACCAAGGCGACGACGGGUAGCCGGCCUGAGAGGGCGACCGGCCACACUGGGACUGAGACACGGCCCAGACUCCUACGGGAGGCAGCAGUGGGGAAUAUUGCACAAUGGGCGCAAGCCUGAUGCAGCGACGCCGCGUGAGGGAUGAAGGUCUUCGGAUUGUAAACCUCUUUCAGUAGGGACGAAGCGAGAGUGACGGUACCUAAAGAAGAAGCACCGGCUAACUACGUGCCAGCCGCCGCCGUAA
rnacentral:rRNA from 1 species